GAUGAACGCUAGCGGCAGGCUUAAUACAUGCAAGUCGUGGGGCAGCAUGAGUAGCAAUACUUGAUGGCGACCGGCAAACGGGUGAGGAACACGUACACAACCUUCCUUCAAGCGGGGAAUAGCCCAGAGAAAUUUGGAUUAAUACCCCAUAAUAUAUUUGAUAAGGCAUCUUAUUAAUAUUAAAGCUUCGGCACUUGAUGAUGGGUGUGCGGCUGAUUAGAUAGUUGGCGGGGUAACGGGCCCACCAAGUCUACGAUCAGUAGCUGAUGUGAGAGCAUGAUCAGCCACACGGGCACUGAGACACGGGCCCGACUCCUACGGGAGGCAGCAGUAAGGAAUAUUGG
rnacentral:rRNA from 1 species